rnacentral:rRNA from 1 species
AAUGAACGUUGGCGGCGUGGAUUAGGCAUGCAAGUCGUGCGAGAAGUCUUUUGCUUGCAUUAGACGGAAAGCGGCGAAAGGGAGAGUAACGCGUGGAUACCUACCUCCAGGUUCGGGAUAGCUGCGGGAAACUGCAGGUAAUACCGAAUAACAUCUCCGGAUCAAAGGUGUGAUUCCGCCUGGAGACGGAUCCGCGUCCUAUUAGCUUGUUGGUGGGGUAACGGCCUACCAAGGCUACGAUGGGUACCGGGCGUGAGAGCGUGACCCGGCUCACUGGGACUGAGACACUGCCCAGACACCUACGGGUGGCUGCAGUCGAGAAUCUUUGGCAAUGGACGAAAGUCUGACCAAGCGACGCCGCGUGCGGGAUGAAGGCCCUCGGGUUGUAAACCGCUGUCAGUUGGGAGGAAAUCGCAUGGGGUCAUCCCCAUGCGUUGACCUAUCUUCAGAGGAAGGACGGGCUAAGUUCG